rnacentral:rRNA from 1 species
GCAAGUCGCACGAGAACGUUUCAGCUUGCUGAAACUAGUAAAGUGGCGAACGGGUGAGUAACGCGUGGGUAAUCUACCUCCGAAUUGGGGAUAACAUUGCGAAAGCGAUGCUAAUACCGAAUGACAUCUCAAUCACUCCGGUCUUUGAGAUCAAAGGUGGCCUCUCCAUGGAAGCUACUGUUUGGAGAUGAGCCCGCGUACCAUUAGCUUGUUGGUAGGGUAAUGGCCUACCAAGGCGACGAUGGUUAGCUGGUCUGAGAGGAUGAUCAGCCACACUGGAACUGACACACGGUCCAGACUCCUACGGGAGGCAGCAGUGAGGAAUUUUGCGCAAUGGGGGAAACCCUGACGCAGCAACGCCGCGUGAGUGAUGAAGGCUCUCGGGUCGUAAAGCUCUGUCAAGUGAGAAGAACCUGCCUUUUGCUAAUAUCACUGGGCACUGACGGUAUCACUGAAGGAAGCACCGGCUAACUCCGUG